ACCCCAGUUUGUUUAUUAGUAUUUUAUUAUUAUUUUUAUUCAGUUCUUGUUUUAGUUCUUGUUGUUGUUGUUUAAAUGCUUUGUAGAGUACUUGCACAGCAACUACAUCCUGGGCUGUGGAAAGAGUAUGGACGUGAUGAUCUCAACGGUGCUCCAAGUCAGAAUUGGUCAAAUAACUGUGGAGUGUUUGUGUUGAUGUACACACUCAAUGUUGUAAUGGGAGGCGUCUUUGAUUUUGCUGAUUCUGACAUGGCUGCAGUAAGGAGAUGGUGGUGCUUGCCCUGCUAACAAAUUAUCAUGUGAAGUAAGCCUAUUUCCAAGUUUUUCCAAUAAAUAAAACAUAUUUAUUAAUAGUAGUGGGUGA
ensembl:lncRNA